AAUAGGUGGCUGGUGUGUUUUCUCCUCUUCAAAAGCUUGUGGCUAAGCUUCAAAUCCGAGGGCCUAUCCAACUGAGCUCCUGAGGCUUCGAAGAGCCUCUUCCCCACUUGUCUAGAGCAAGGAGACGGGCCACUGGCCUGGGGGUCACCCGUGAUUCCUGUCCUUGCUUUUCACGGGGCCAGGCCUGCUGCUGACAUCUCGCAGCUCUCGUGUCCCACUGGGGCUGCUGCUCCCGUGGCCCAGUCCGUCCUCCCAUCUUCUGCAGAUUUAUGGGGCUGCCACCAAGGCUCCUCCAGACCAGGGACCACCGUUCUGCUUCAAGUCCCCCCAGCACAUGACGAGAUCCGAGCUUCUAACGUGUGAAAUCCACACUUUGGGGGAGGCCCUGGUUACCAGACUUGAUUUACGUGGUAGAGGCUGAAGAGCAAGGCCUGGGAACCCAGACUACUACAGAAAUGUUUAUGCUUUAGGAUCCCACUGGUUUCCUAUUGCUGCUGUAACGAAUUACCACAAACUUCAAGUGGCUUAAAACAACAGUCUUGGAAGACUUCCAGUGUGCCUACAGCCUGCCCAAGCAAUGGAGCUUCUAUCUCAGUGGUUCUCAACCUUCUGGCCCUUUAAAUACAGGUCCUCAUGUUGUGACCCAACCAUAAAAUUAUUUUCAUUGCUACUUCAUCACUGUAAUGUUGCUACUGUUAUGAAUCGUCAUGUAAAUAUCUGAUAAGCAGGAUGUUCUUAAGCGACCCCUGUGAAAGGGUCGUUGAGAACCGCUGUUCUAUCUGAACCAUGUACCCCUGCACCCACCUACUUCACUCCUGUGCUGUCACACACACACAGACUCCCUGAGCACUUUGCCCCAGCCGUGUGAGGAGGAGAAAGUCCUGGUCAGUGUCAGAAGACAUGGGUCUCAUCAGCCUGUUGGACUGGAAUCGUGAGGGUGAGAGGCAUGAGGGGGAGAGAAGAGAGGUGUGAUGAGGGAAUUGAAGCUGCUCCACGUAGCCCCGCGUGCCAUUUUGCAUGUCCUCCUUGGGACGCCUAGCUCCCUCACAAACAUAGGCACACACCGUGAAGAGCCAAUUACCGCUGGCUUUUACCUCCACCUGGGGAAGCCAUGGAUCCCCAAAGGGCACGAGCCCUUUCAGAACCAAAGCCCGGCCGCGGCGGCCGUUCCACCGAAGCGGCCCUGCACCGUGGCUCUCUCCUCUCUCUCCCGUUCUCUUUUUCCUUUUUCUUUUGCCUCCAUUUUUCCCACCCUCCCUCCCUCGUUUCUCUCUGCUGCUCCUUCCUUUUAAAAACAAGCAGAGCAGCCACCCUCCUGUUGAUCUGCUUGUGCUCCGUGUGCGGAGCCUGGGGACCGCCCAGCGUAGUUCCCUGUGGCUGUUCCGUUGAGCCCGACUGCGGCCCAGCAGCGGCAACGCAGUCCCGUCCCAGCUCCGUGAGGUCCCGGAGGCUGACAAGCAGAACAGCCUCUGCUUUGUUUGUGUUUCACUCGUGGUGCCCUGUGAGCCAGGUGGGCUGCGGGCCGGGCUCCUCCCGCAGGACACAUCAGAGAGGAGCUGGGCUCCAUGUCGUCCCUACACACUCCCUUCCGCUAACACGCGCGCACACACACACACACACACACA